rnacentral:rRNA from 1 species
UACUCCUACGGGAGGCAGCAGUAGGGAAUCUUCGGCAAUGGACGGAAGUCUGACCGAGCAACGCCGCGUGAGUGAAGAAGGUUUUCGGAUCGUAAAGCUCUGUUGUAAGAGAAGAACGAGUGUGAGAGUGGAAAGUUCACACUGUGACGGUAUCUUACCAGAAAGGGACGGCUAACUACGUGCCAGCAGCCGCGGUAAUACGUAGGUCCCGAGCGUUGUCCGGAUUUAUUGGGCGUAAAGCGAGCGCAGGCGGUUAGAUAAGUCUGAAGUUAAAGGCUGUGGCUUAACCAUAGUACGCUUUGGAAACUGUUUAACUUGAGUGCAAGAGGGGAGAGUGGAAUUCCAUGUGUAGCGGUGAAAUGCGUAGAUAUAUGGAGGAACACCGGUGGCGAAAGCGGCUCUCUGGCUUGUAACUGACGCUGAGGCACGAAAGCGUGGGGAGCAAACAGGAUUAGAUACCCUGGUAGUCCACGCCGUAAACGAUGAGUGCUAGGUGUUAGACCCUUUCCGGGGUUUAGUGCCGUAGCUAACGCAUUAAGCACUCCGCCUGGGGAGUACGACCGCAAGGUUGAAACUCAAAGGAAUUGACGGA